GCCUUCGUAGUGUAGUGGUAAGCACACUGGACGCAUAUUCCAGAAGUCUGUGGUUCGAUUCCUGGCGAGGGCA